CUUCGACGCGGCCUCGCCACCGUGUUCAUUCUCACCGCUUGGCGAAUCUAAAAACACCACACCGGUAGCAUGUUCAACAAUGAUACACCUUCGGUUGUGCAGCUCACCAACGAGAUCAAAGACAACAGUAGAUCUUGGGCUCGCGCUGGGGCCAAGGGGCUUGGCCAGCUGAUCAAUGAGACAUAG
rnacentral:rRNA from 1 species